rnacentral:rRNA from 1 species
CCUACGGGAGGCUGCAGUGAGGAAUAUUGGUCAAUGGGAGAGAUCCUGAACCAGCCAAGCCGCGUGAGGGAAGACGGCCCUAUGGGUUGUAAACCUCUUUUGCCGGAGAGCAAAACCCGGGACGUGACCCCGACUGCGUGUAUCCGAAGAAAAAGCCACGGCUAACUCCGUGCCAGCAGCCGCCGUAAUACGGAGGAUGCGGGCGGUAUCCGGAUUUAUUGGGUGUAAAGGGUGCGUAGGCGGGCCGUUCAGUCAGAGGUAAAAUUGCGGGGUUCAACCCCGUCGGGCCGUUGAAACUGGCAGACGUGAGUUGGCGAGAAGUACGCGGGAUGCGCGGUGUAGCGGUGAAAUGCAUGGAUAUCGCGCAGAACUCCGAUUGCGAAGGCAGCGUACCGGCGCCAGACUGACGCUGAGGCACGAAAGCGUGGGGAUCGAACAGGAUUAGAUACCCGGGUAGUC